ACAGCAGUAGCCGCGGGAAUACGUAGGGUGCAAGCGUUAAUCGGAAUUACUGGGUGUAAAGCGUGCGCAGGCGGUUAUAUAAGACAGAUGUGAAAUCCCCGGGCUCAACCUGGGAACUGCAUUUGUGACUGUAUAGCUAGAGUACGGCAGAGGGGGAUGGAAUUCCGCGUGUAGCAGUGAAAUGCGUAGAUAUGCGGAGGAACACCGAUGGCGAAGGCAAUCCCCUGGGCCUGUACUGACGCUCAUGCACGAAAGCGUGGGGAGCAAACAGGAUUAGAUACCCGCGUAGUCCCUGUCUCUUAUAC
rnacentral:rRNA from 1 species